GUGGGGAAUCUUCCGCAAUGGACGAAAGUCUGACGGAGCAACGCCGCGUGAGUGAAGAAGGUUUUCGGAUCGUAAAGCUCUUUCGUUAGGGACGAACGUGCUCUUUGUGAAUAAUGAGGAGUAAUGACGGUACCUAAAUAAGAAGCCACGGCUAACUACGUGCCAGCAGCCGCGGUAAUACGUAGGUGGCAAGCGUUGUCCGGAAUUAUUGGGCGUAAAGCGCGCGCAGGCGGGAUAUCAAGUCUGUCUUAAAAGUGCGAGGCUCAACCUCGUGAGGGGACAGAAACUGGGAUUCUUGAGUGUCGGAGAGGAAAGUGGAAUUCCAAGUGUAGCGGUGAAAUGCGUAGAGAUUUGGAAGAACACCAGUGGCGAAGGCGACUUUCUGGACGAUGUCUGACGCUGAGGCGCGAAAGCUAGGGGAGCGAACGGGAUUAGAUACCCUGGUAGUCC
rnacentral:rRNA from 1 species